GAUGAAGAACGUAGAGAAAUGCGAUAAGUAAUGUGAAUUGCAGAAUUCAGUGAAUCAUCGAAUCUUUGAACGCACCUUGCGCCCUUUGGCAUUCCGAAGGGCAUGCCUGUUUGAGUAUCAUGAACACCUCAACUCUUCAUGGUUUUCCAUGAUGAGCUUGGACUUUGGGGGUCUUGCUGGCCUGCGGUCGGCUCCUCUCAAAUGAAUCAGCUUACCAGUGUUUGGUGGGCAUCACAGGUGUGAUAACUAUCUGCGCUUGUGGUUUUCCACCAAGUAACCUUCAGCAGUGGAGGUUCACUGGAGCUCACAGACGUCUCUCCUCAGUGAGGACAGCCCUUUGAAUGUUUGAUCUCAAAUCAGGUAGGACUACCCGCUGAACUUAAGCAUAUCAAUAAGCGGAGGA
rnacentral:misc_RNA from 1 species